rnacentral:rRNA from 1 species
AGCACCACAACGGGUGGAGCUUGCGGUUUAAUUGGAUUCAACGCCGGAAAUCUUACCGGGACCGACAGCAAUAUGAAGGCCAGGCUGAAGACUUUGCCGGAUUAGCUGAGAGGUGGUGCAUGGCCGUCGUCAGUUCGUACUGUGAAGCAUCCUGUUAAGUCAGGCAACGAGCGAGACCCACGCCCACAGUUGCCAGCGUACUCUCUGGAGUGACGGGUACACUGUGGGGACCGCCGCUGCUAAAGCGGAGGAAGGAAUGGGCAACGGUAGGUCAGUAUGCCCCGAAUAUCCCGGGCUACACGCGAGCUACAAUGGUUGGUACGAUGGGUAUCUACCCCGAAAGGGGACGGGAAUCUCCUAAAACCAAUCUUAGUUCGGAUUGAGGGCUGCAACUCGCCCUCAUGAAGCUGGAAUCCGUAGUAAUCGCGUUUCAACAGAACGCGGUGAAUACGUCCCUGCUCCUU